AUACGUAGGUGACAAGCGUUAUCCGGAUUUACUGGGUGUAAAGGGCGUGUAGGCGGUUUAGCAAGUCAGAAGUGAAAUUCCCGGGCUUAACUUGGGCGCUGCUUCUGAAACUGCUUUACUUGAGUGCUGGAGAGGAUAGUGGAAUUCCUAGUGUAGCGGUAAAAUGCGCAGAUAUUAGGAGGAACACCGGUUGCGAAGGCGGCUAUCUGGACAGUAACUGACACUGAGGCGCGAAAGCACGGGGAGCAAACAGGAUUAGAUACCCUGGUAGUCCGUGCCGUAAACGAUGAAUACUAGGUGUAGGGGGUAUCGACUCCCUCUGUGCCGCAGUUAACACAUUAAGUAUUCCACCUGGGGAGUACGGCCGCAAGGUUGAAACUCAAAUGAAUUGACGGGG
rnacentral:rRNA from 1 species